UACGGAGGGUGCGAGCGUUGUCCGGAAUCACUGGGCGUAAAGGGCGCGUAGGCGGCGCGGAUAGUCGACGGUGAAAGCCCGGAGCUCAACUCCGGGUCGGCCGUCGAUACUUCCGGGCUUGAGCACUGUAGAGGCAGAUGGAAUUCCGGGUGUAGCGGUGGAAUGCGUAGAGAUCCGGAAGAACACCGGUGGCGAAGGCGGUCUGCUGGGCAGUUGCUGACGCUGAUGCGCGACAGCGUGGGGAGCAAACAGG
rnacentral:rRNA from 1 species